GCGUGUUAUGUGGUCUACGCUUUCUCGAGCUAAUUAAGACUUUUGAAGGGAAGAGGUUGCAUUUUACUGCAGGGUCAUUUCCAAAACUUAGGUAUCUAUUCAUAUGGGUUGCGGCACAGCUCAACCAGGUUCAAAUAGAGGAGGGUGCGAUGCAAAACCUCAUUGAGCUAUCAUUCACAGAGUGUCCUGAGCUAAAUUUUCUUCCUAAUGGCAUCGAACACCUUGCAGCCCUUGAGAAAUUAAUUCUGAAAGACACGUCAGAAGAGCUGAUAGAGAAACUCCGGCAGAAGAGAGAUUCUGAUGAAUGCACCAAACAUGCAAUGAAGAUUAGCCACAUAAGGAAUGUUACAGUUGGACUGAGGCAGAAAGGACUUUGGGAAAGGAUUAGGUGAUUGUCGCUGCUCCAAGAUUCUGCACUGCAGUGCAAGCUCUGUUGUCUCCUUGUUACCACUCUUAUGAUUUUUUUACUGUCCUCUAUCGAAGAUGAGUUGUAAGAAGGUCAGCCGCACAGCCGAAUUCUUGAAGGCGGAUGUAAACUCAGCUGCAAAGAAGAAAAAGAACUACGAGUCAGCGUACUUGGUGGAGCGCAAUCAUGAAGGGGGAACAUGAGAUGCUCCGCAACAAUGUAUGCCAUUUUCUUCCACAUUAUGCUGUAUGAAAUGAGUAUUCUGCUCAUCAGUUAGUUGAGUAGCUUCUUCCUUAAUCAUGUCUGCAUACAGACACACACAUACACACAGUAUGCGACCGAUUGUUCAGGAGUAGUAAUGCUUCUUCGCUGAUCCCUCUUACAAGCUUUUAAGUUUGUGUACUGCCGCUGGCACUUGUAAUCAUUGUUGAGCACUACAAGUAUCUAUUUCUCACUAUUCAGCAGCCAUGGUGAACUCUGUUCAUGAGAGUAUGGUCAUAUGCUUAUGGAAACCCAAUCUGGAAUUA